rnacentral:rRNA from 1 species
UACGGAGGAUGCAAGCGUUUAUCCGGAAUUAUUGGGCGUAAAGCGUCCGCAGGUGGCACUUCAAGUCUGCUGUCAAAGACCGGGGCUUAACCCUGGAAAGGCAGUGGAAACUGAAGCGCUAGAGUGUGGCAGGGGUAGAGGGAAUUCCCGGUCGUAGCGGUGAAAUGCGUAGAGAUCGGGAAGAACAUCGGUGGCGAAAGCGCUCUACUGGGCCAUACCUGACACUCGAGGGACGAAAGCUAGGGGAGCGAAUGGG